rnacentral:ncRNA from 1 species
AGUUUUUUUUUUUGGUUUAUAGAUUUGAUUAUGGUCAUUGUAAUGAUAAAAUGGUGUUAUAUAAUUUUUAAUCACGUGAGUGGACAAUGUAUUUCUAUCCCGGCAAUGUAUUGCUUGUAUAAACUCAGUACCAGAAUAAUCGGAUAGACUGAGUAAGCUUAUACCCUAAAUGUGUUUUAAUCAUGGCUUUAUUUUUUGUUUUUACAACUGUUUAGUGCAAUGUGCAGUUUUUUUUAUUUUUUGUCUUGGUUAAUAAGAUUAGAUAAAUGACCUGGAUUAGUACCCAGUUAAUCUAAAUUUAAAAGUUGCAGGAGUAAAGUAAUAUUUAAACUGUAAUAAUAUUGGCGGAUUUUUUAGUUAUCUUUGGAGGUUGAGCUGUAAUUGAGAACCCUCAUUAUCAGCUUUGAUUUUUGUCGCAUGUAUGAUCGUUUAUGUCCUUCUUAAAGAGGUGCAUUAAAAAUUAUUUGGUGUUUAAUCAAUGAUAUUUAUUAAAACAGAUAAAUACCUGGUAUAUAUCAAAGUUUUCGUUUGGCCUACAAUAUCUUAUGUUUCGGAUAGGAUUUAGAGAUAUUUCCUUGAAGUUGUAAAAGACAGUAAAUACUUUUUAAUGUAGUAUUGAAGUACUUAGAGAAAUCGUACAAAUCAUCCAUCAAUUGCCCACAGGGGAGUAAGUUGUAGUAAAGUAGGUGUAGGGGAAUCUGUACCUAGUUUA